rnacentral:rRNA from 1 species
CACGUAUUUAGCCGGUGCUUCUUAGUCAGGUACCGUCAUUUUCUUCCCUGCUGAUAGAGCUUUACAUACCGAAAUACUUCUUCGCUCACGCGGCGUCGCUGCAUCAGGGUUCCCCCCAUUGUGCAAUAUUCCCCACUGCUGCCUCCCGUAGGAGUUUGGGCCGUGUCUCAGUCCCAAUGUGGCCGUCCACCCUCUCAGGCCGGCUACUGAUCGUCGCUUUGGUAGGCCGUUACCCUGCCAACUGGCUAAUCAGACGCGGGUCCAUCCCAUACCACCGGAGUUUUUCACACAGCAACAUGCGUUGCCGUGCGCUUAUGCGGUAUUAGCAGUCAUUUCUAACUGUUAUCCCCCUGUAUGGGGCAGGUUGCCCACGCGUUACUCACCCGUCCGCCACUCAGUCACUAUACUCUUUUUCCGAAGAAUCCAACUAUAGCGCUUCGUUCGACUUGCAUGUGUUAGGCACGCCGCCAGCGUUCAUCCUGAGCCAGGAUCAAACU